GACGAACGCUGGCGGCGUGCUUAACACAUGCAAGUCGAACGGAAAGGCCCUGCUUUUGUGGGGUGCUCGAGUGGCGAACGGGUGAGUAACACGUGAGUAACCUGCCCUUGACUUUGGGAUAACUUCAUACAACUGGGGCUCAUACCGGAUAGGAGCUCCUGCUGCAUGGUGGGGGUUGGUAAGUUUCGGCUGUUGGGGAUGGACUCGCGGCCUAUCAGAUUGUUGGUGGGGUAGUGGCUUACCAAGGCUUUGACGGGUAGCCGGCCUGAGAGGGUGACCGGCCACAUUGGAACUGAGAUACGGCACAGACUCGUACGGGAGGCAGCAGUGGGGAAUAGUGCACAAGGGGCGGAAGCCUAAUGUAGCAACGCCGCGUGGGGGAUGACGGCCUGCGGGUUGUAAACCACUUUCGCCUUUGACGAGGCGUGAGUGACGGUAAUGGGUAAAGAAGCACCGGCUAACUACGUG
rnacentral:rRNA from 1 species